AUAGACUAGUCGGGGUAGCUCAUUCCCCUCGCUGUCAAGUCCUCCACUGUGGCCUAGGAAAACCUGGAUCAUUCCAGGAUGAUCUCUGGUGUUGUUUCCAGGCCACGGUGUACCAUCUUGCAUGACCCAACCCUCGUCAGGAAUCUUUUGUGCCUUGGCAACAAGAGCGUUGAUGCGAAUUUUGAACUCUUCAUAUUCCCUCUUCAUAGCUCUGCGAUCCUUCACAAAUGAAGGAUGAACCUUAUCUUUUAAAUAAUCAAUCUUCUGGGCAAAGUACCAUUCAGGAGCUCGGGGCUCGAUAGCGUAUUGCUUGCAGAAAGGAACCCAUUUCCUCGCAAAUUCUGAAGUUUCAGAAAGUGCCUCGAAUGACAG
rnacentral:misc_RNA from 1 species